rnacentral:rRNA from 1 species
CGGAGCGGCGGACGGGUGAGGAACACAUCGGAAUCUACCCUGUCGUGGGGGACAACGUAGGGAAACUUACGCUAAUACCGCAUACGACCUUUGGGUGAAAGCGGGGGACCCGCAAGGGCCCCGCGCGAUUGGAUGAGCCGAUGUCCGAUUAGCUAGUUGGCGGGGUAAUGGCCCACCAAGGCGACGAUCGGUAGCUGGUCUGAGAGGACGACCAGCCACACUGGAACUGAGACACGGUCCAG